rnacentral:rRNA from 1 species
AGAGUUUGAUCCUGGCUCAGAAUCAACGCUGGCGGCGCGCUUAACACAUGCAAGUCGCACGAGAAAGUGGAGCAAUCCAUGAGUACAGUGGCGUACGGGUGAGUAACACGUGGAUCAUCUGCCCUUUAGUGGGGAAUAACCCUGGGAAACCGGGGCUAAUACCGCAUAAUCCUGAGAAGGGAAAGCAGCAAUGCGCUGAAGGAGGAGUCCGCGGCCGAUUAGCUAGUUGGUAGGGUAACGGCCUACCAAGGCAAUGAUCGGUAGCCGGCCUGAGAGGGCACACGGCCACACUGGCACUGAAACACGGGCCAGACUCCUACGGGAGGCAGCAGUGGGGAAUCUUGCACAAUGGAGGAAACUCUGAUGCAGCGACGCCGCGUGAGCGAUGAAGCCCUUCGGGGUGUAAAGCUCUUUCGACGGGAACGAUAAUGACGGUACCCGGAGAAGAAGCUGCGGCUAACUACGUGCCAGCAGCCGCGGUAAUACGUAGGCAGCAAGCGUUGUUCGGAAUUACUGGGCGUAAAGAGUGUGUAGGCGGUUCUCUAAGUUCGGUGUGAAAUCUCCCGGCUCAACUGGGAGGGUGCGCCGGAAACUGGAGGGCUUGAGUAUGGGAGAGGAAGGCGGAAUUCCUGGUGUAGCGGUGAAAUGCGUAGAUAUCAGGAGGAACACCUGCGGUGUAGACAGCUUUCUGGACCAUCACUGACGCUGAGACACGAAAGCGUGGGUAGCAAACAGGAUUAGAUACCCCCGUAGUCC